rnacentral:rRNA from 1 species
GCCCAGAAGCGGGGGAUAACACCUGGAAACAGAUGCUAAUACCGCAUAACAACUUGGACCGCAUGGUCCGAGUUUGAAAGAUGGCUUCGGCUAUCACUUUUGGAUGGUCCCGCGGCGUAUUAGCUAGAUGGUGGGGUAACGGCUCACCAUGGCAAUGAUACGUAGCCGACCUGAGAGGGUAAUCGGCCACAUUGGGACUGAGACACGGCCCAAACUCCUACGGGAGGCAGCAGUAGGGAAUCUUCCACAAUGGACGAAAGUCUGAUGGAGCAACGCCGCGUGAGUGAAGAAGGGUUUCGGCUCGUAAAACUCUGUUGUUAAAGAAGAACAUAUCUGAGAGUAACUGUUCAGGUAUUGACGGUAUUUAACCAGAAAGCCACGGCUAACUACGUGCCAGCAGCCGCGGUAAUACGUAGGUGGCAAGCGUUGUCCGG